ACAUAUUAAUAUUUGCCAUGUGUUUUGUUCUAUGUGCUGGGGUUUUAGCAAUAAUCAAAACUGAAAAUGUCUCAUUACGAAGUGUGUAUUCCAAAGUGGUUAAAAAACAUAUAAAUGUAGAAAAUGUAUUAGAAAAGUAUAAGUGCUGUGGUGAAAAAGAAAGAAGGGUAAAAGAAAGCGCUAUUUUGUGGAAGGUGGUCAGGAAUGUUGUCUAGUAAAGGGCAAUUGAACUGAGAUCUGCACUAAGAGGUAGAGUGUAUUUGACUCUCAGAUGCAAAAGUGUCCUAGGCAGAUGGAAGAUCAUGUGCAGAGACAGUUUGAAAUAAGGAGAUCCUUUGAUAUAAGGGGAUAUUUGGAUAAAUCAGCACAGAGGCUGGCAUGUCUCCCACCCUAUAAUUUAUUUAGAUGUAAAUACAGAUGAUCCAAAUCACUCACCAGGAAAUAAAAAUAAAGUGCAUUUAGUACUCAUAUCAAGUUGAAGAUUCCCAGGAGGGGAAAGCUCGCACCUGAGGAGUCUGAGCUGAGAGAGGAGUGGCUUCAGGUUUUGAUUGUGGGUAGGGUUUGGAACUGGAAUGGACACUGUUCUGUGAGCUAGAAGGUGUGCUGUCUGAACUUCCCACAGCCUGCAGUGGGAGAGGGCAUGCAUGGGUGCUUUCUUGUAUGUCACAAAGGUGUUGAGGUAGUAGGUGUGUAAGAAGCAGAGAGAGAAUGAGGGAGCCUAUCUAUGAUCAAACAUCAGUGAUAAAAUUAUCUUCUUUGUUGCAGGAAUUCAUCUAAUUUCAAAGUGGGUAUGAAACAAUUUAUCAACAUAAUUUCCUAGAAAGUAUUAAAACAUGAAAGAUGUGUAAUACUGAAGAGUAGUAAAUGAAAAAAAAAUAUAUUAUGUAAAAACAAUGCAAAUAAAAUGUCAGGAUACUAACAGUUUGAGUUAAUGAAAAAAAUUGCUAAGUUUUUGCAUGUUUCACACUGUUAGCAAUUCAAGACUGGACUGUCCAAUUUAAAAUUUUGUUGUUCUUUUCUUUCUUUUUAUACCUGACAUGUAAAUGGCAAUCUUUAGCAUCUCUCAAAUAAUGAGAAAUAAUAUGAGUAAACAAAUGCAUGAGUUAACAGAUAUGUAAAAUUUUCAUGAAAUUUUACAGGUAGUUGGUAAAGAAUUUGUCAAACUAGGGGCUUUGGGCUAAAUCCCAUAUGUCUCCUGUUUUUGUAAAUAAACUUAUAAUGAAACACAAACAGACCCAUUUGUUGUGGUGUUGCCUCCCAAUCUUACAUAAGAAAUCACAACUUCAGCCAUUAAAUCCACUCUUACCUAUACCCUACCUUAUUCCUGAUUCCGCAGUCUGCACAGCCUUUCAUAAUAUUUAAUCAUAUUACUUAAUAUUUAUAUUAUGUCAUGUAUGUUUUAAUUUGCAAUUGUGUUUUCAUACUUUGAUUUUAUAUUUACAUAGUAUAUAAGCUUCCUUACAGCAGACGUUGUGCUUCUUCUGCUCCUUUCUUUAUCCCUAGCACCAAGUUUAAACACCUAGAUGAUUUGUUUGUUUAAUUAAAAACUGCAUUGCAAGAAUUCUUAAUGGUAUGAAAAGAGUAUUGAAACAUUCCACAUGAUUGAAUAUUUGGUCCCUUAUGAUAAUGUAAGAGAUGUGAAAGCACAAAUGGUGAAAUCUGAAAAGGACUACUUCAGAGAUACAUACAUAGGGAGUGAAAGCGUGAGGUUUUAUCAGAGUCAUAAAAUAAAACAGGUGAUUGGAAAAGAUUCCCCUUUCUCUUUCCCCUUGUACGCGGAUUGGCACCUAGGAUAGGGUAAUUCUUUCAUCACUUUCUGGAAAAUAUUCAAAUAUGACAAAUUAUCUCCCUAUCCUUUACUUCAAAUUGAGUGUUGCUGAAGAUCAUAAAUCUUGUGUGUUUUUGCUUUUUAAAGAAAUAUGAGCUUUUAGUCUUCUAGUCUAUUAUUCAGAUAAACUUAAGCAAAGGCCACAGCAAUCAUCUGGGUAGUCUCUUUAGGUAGUUUUUCAAGCUGGAUCAUUCAGGUCAAAUACAAAUGGUUUUCAAUCGUGCAGUUUUUCUUUUUUUUUUCCUCCCUCGAUUUAAUUUCCUCAUCAUUCCACUUCACAUUGCCUAUGUAAAUUAAGCUGUCGUGCUGUAAACCACAGUUCCCCCUUGUCUAUCUCCUCAGUAACAGCUUCAAAGUACUAAAAAGCUAAAAUAGCUACAAAAGAACAAUUAAUUUGUGCAAAAUCACAGAGGCGCUGUAGGUAUUAAAAACACUACAAUAAGGCUUUUAUCAGCGAGCUAAACUGCACAGCAUUAAGCUCAAAACUAAUAGGGCUGAACAUGCAGCACAAUGAUGAGGAUGAUAAAGGAAUCUCAAGGACAUGCAGAGAACUGGGGUAACGUGAUUUUGAAGUGAUGCAGUUAUUUCAAAUAAACAUCUACAUAAGUACAUAGGAAAAAUGCUGAUCUGUUGGGAAAGGCAAGUUUAAACCAGUAAGGAAAUUUACAUCUAUUUUUGGAGAAACAUACUUAUAUUUUUAUGGAAAUUACUGUUGAAGAUUCUGAUAAUGCACCCUGAGGUUGCUCAAUGUAUACUUGUUGAUUGGCAAUUGGCUGGCAGUUUGAUAUUUAAAAACUUAAAUCUCUGAACUGUAAAAAAAACAUAGCUUGUUAUAUCUAAAACUGGCUAAAAGGAUAACAUUAAAAUAUAAUCAGGAGUGCCACCACCUCCUGUGUUGAAACAGCAAUGAAAACAAUUACUUUAAUCAUCAAUUGUUUAUUUAAUGGCUGCUCUCAGCCCAAAUCUGUGUUAGGUGCUAUGGGCUGGAAAGGAAGUUAAGCUAUUGCUGUAAUUUCUAAGUAAACACAUUAAAUGCUUCCAAAACUAGAUAGAGAAGAAUGAAUUUAUAAUUGUGAAGUAAAUACAGUGGAUGCACUAAGACCUAGAGGGAGGGAUGGUUUUGUAUUAUAAAAAAACUAUGGAAAUACAUGCCUUUAUUUCCUUUGCAACCAGAUCAAUCUAGACUUAAAUUCCAAGCCAUCCACUUAACAUACUGUGAUAUUUUUCUGCCACUAUUCUUUCCCUUUAAAGUUUCUCAAAUGAGGAGAAUAAAACUGAACACACAGAGCUGUUUUAAAGAGAAAAUAGGAAAAAUGCUUUAAAGUGUAGCACAUAGUAGACUUUCAAAACUGUGUGCUCAGUUUAUCUUUAAUAAAGAUAUUCCCAUAAGAACAACAUAUCCUUAUAGCUCAUAGGAUUAAAUAUAUUAGAAAUAGAAGUUUCCUUUAAAAAAAAAAUAAGGAAUUAUUUGGUCUAAUGCCUUUAAUUUACAGUUGCCAACAUUGAGAUUCAACAGCCGACCUCUGAGAUUCCUUUUGGAAAUGUACACAAUGUACAGAGUGCCCUGAAAAGAAGCAACAAAUGUUGCAAUGCUUUUUGGAAUAUUAGGUUUUAGUCUCCAUUUAAACAUUAGGGAAUAUUACCAGCCUAUUUUUUCAGUCUCCCCUUCUUACUCCAAUGUCAUACUUCAAGAAAAUCUGAUUUAUUUAUUACCUAGAUUUGCAUGCUUUCAUUAUAAUGUGGCCACAUGUCAAAUAUCCAUCUGCAUAUAAUAUAAUGCAUAACUUAAUAUAAAUAAUAGACUCCCAAGUUUAUUUAGACUGACUUGUGUGAAACGCAGUGGGGAAUUAUGAAGAGUAAUUUCUCUAACAGUAGUUCUUCAGUAUCAAAAAAGAAUAUUAACAAAGUGCAAGAUAUUCAUACUCAGAGCUUUUGGAAGAACCUGCUGCUUACUGUUUGCAAUAACUGUAUUGUGCUAAUUCAAUAUAUAUUAUAAAAUAGUUCAGCAGCACUCUUCAUUAACAAAUUCUGUGGUGUGCAAUUAGUAAAUGUCACCAAAUAGAAAAAUUAAUAUAACAGUGGCUUCAUUUUCACAGAUUAUUCUAGAUAUAUAAUUUAAAAUCUUCUAUGCAGCAUUUUAUUUUAAAAUUUCUCAAACCUGAAAAAAAGUGGAAAAAUGUGGGUAUACUCUCACUGAAUUCACAAAUUUUUUUGUUUGCUCUUUUUACUUUUCCCUUUUUUUUUUUUUGCUGAAUCAUUUGAAACCAUUUGCAAAUGUCUUGACUUCAUUCUUAAAUACUUUAACAUUUAAAUUAUAUACUACUUUAUAAAUAGCCCCAGAAAAUUUGUCACUGAUACAAUAUUAUCUAAUGAAGAAAUCAUAGUCAAAAUAUCUUUGGAUUGGCAUAGCAUUGUAAAUCAACUAUACUUUAAGGAAAAAAUAAUAAUUAAAAAAUAUCCUUUGGAUCUGGUUUUAAAUUAACAUAGAAAAGUUUGCUCUUGUACUUAAGUUUUUCCAAUUUUAUCAAUAUCAUAGACACACUUCAUUUGUGAUCUUAAAAUGCAAAAAUAUUAACAUUAUGUAUUGUAAGCUUUGCUUAUAAUUUCCAUUAUUAUAGUUUAUUAUGAUACUUUUUUUUUUUCUUUUUAGGGCCACACCCAGGGCAUUUGGAAGUUCCCAGGCUAGGGGUCAAAUUGGAACAGCAGCUGCUGGCCAAACUAAAGCCACAGUGACAUCAUAUCUAGGUCACACCUACAACCUACACUGCAGCUCAUGGCAACACCAGAUCCUUAACCCCCUGAGUGGGGCCAGGGAUAGAACCCGCAGCCUCAUGGAUAGUAAUUUGGUUCAUUACCACUGAAUCACAAUGGAAACUCCUAUUAUGAUACUUUCUAAAUUGAGAGUUUAUGACCAAAAAAAAUUUCAAGUAACAUUGAAAGUAUCCUUAGUAUCCUCACAAGGUUAUAAAUAUACAAAAUAGACUCCUUUUGUAAAUAAUGAGUUUUAAUGGUAGAGUAUAAAGCUAGCCCUCAGGGCAAUAUUUGAAGCAUUAAUACUUUUGAUAUAAAUUGUACACAUUUUAUCAACUAUGUUAGAGACAUUUACUAUAGUAUAAUGCAAUAUUAAACAUCCAACAGUAUUGUUUAUUUGAUUUAACAGAAAAUUUGAUGACUGGUAUUUACUUGAAUUUUUAAAUGCAUGUAUUCUAUAAACAACUAUUGAGUGUCUUCUUUGUCUAUUGCAUGAACCUAGGUGAUAGAAUACAAAUAUGAGUUAGAAAUAUCACCCAUUCCCAAGACAUAAAAAUCUCACAAAAGAUACAACACCACAGAAGUCAAAAUGUGUUAAAUAGCUAGGACACAAUCUAUUCUUGCACUAAUGACUACAUUACUGUUGGGAACAAAUGUCUGCAGUUGAUCAAUGUCAUAGUCAUAGACCAGAAAACAGAAGUGGAAUUCAUAUUUCAUAUCAAAGUAUCAUGAUCCAAAGAAUGCCACCAGCGCUAAUUGCCCUAACAAUCUUCAUUUUUCAGACUUACUGUGUAAUUUCCAACUAUGUAAUGAGUUGAAAAUAUACUAACAUUGAUUUUCUUAUCAAAAGAUAGACAUUUAAAGCAUUGUCAUCAUGUAUUAAUUUGAUAUUUAUUAAAGUCUACUAUGUUUUAGGUAUUUUCUACAUGUCAUGAAUAGUAGGAGAGAUCCUAAACAUUGUACCUGAUUCAAGUAUAAACCCACAUUUAUCAAGCCUUGAUAAUUAGGAUGAUAAAGAAGGGGUUCCUAAGUCUGAUUAAAGUUUUAGAUAAGGUGGUACAUGGAGAUUUUUUUACAUGGACUUAAGGAAUUACUCAUAAAAGUAUAGAUAUUGAAAUUGACACAGUAUUCUAUGUUCUCUGAAAACUCAGAAGUUCAAUGAUUAGUGAAAGACAAAGAGGAAAACUCCAUGAAAUCUGAUGCUGGGGGAGGAUAGAUUAUUAAAAACUGUUCAUUUUGUCAGAUGAAUUUUCAAAACCAUUGUUACACCGUUAAUCAAAGCUAUGUAUUAGUAAGACAGAAUACUAACUCAGGUAGUUAGUGUAGGAGCAUGGGCUCCAAUACAUUCUUUCGAUAUGGAUAUUGAUUAUCCUUUGUGGCUUAAGAGCUCCAGGGAGAAACACCUCCUCAAGCCUUGUUUUAUUACAGGAAAUGUGCAUUCCCCACAAACUUUGUUUACUGUAGGAAAUGCAAAUCUCUAACCCACUUCUCAACUGAUUAAAAAGGAAUGAGAGCAUUGGUGACUUUAAGGAAAGAAAAGGACAAAGACACCCUGAAACUUACACGGUACAUUUCCAACCCUAAAACCCCUAUUGAACAAGGACUGAUACAGGUAAUUGAGCAAGGCCGAUGGGAGAAAAUCACAUCUUUCAGGACCCCAAAUUGGUGCCCCUCCCCACCUUUAAGAGAUAAAAAUCCCCAUAGGACAAUAGAGAAAGGGGGGCUCUUCUUCCCGCUCCCAGGAGUCCUGGGAGCUCUCUGCUUUUUUCUUUAAUGAAGACAGCUUGCUUGCUGCCUGUGUGUUCACGGAGUUCUUUCUUCUACUGCUGUGAACAAGAACCUGGAUUCUGGUAUCAUCCUUCUGGUAUCAUUAGUUAUGUUUGAUUCUUCUGUGGCUCUCUUACAAUAGCUAGAUGAUAUUAAUUUAUUAUAAACUGAUUUUAAAUGGCACAAUAAGUCUUUUCAUAUCCAGGUUUUGGUUUGAAGCAUUACAAAAGGUGAAAGAAAAUUUCAUGCUUCUGAUGCUUCUAAGUGCAC
rnacentral:lncRNA from 1 species